rnacentral:rRNA from 1 species
UAAAGCGUGCGCAGGCGGGGUGGGUAAGUCAGAGGUGAAAGCCCGCAGCUUAACUGUGGAAUUGCCUUUGAUACUGCUCACCUUGAGUCCAGCUGAGGUAGGCGGAAUGUAGUAUGUAGCGGUGAAAUGCUUAGAUAUACUACAGAACACCGAUUGCGAAGGCAGCUUACCAAACUGGCACUGACGCUCAGGCACGAAAGCGUGGGGAGCGAACAGGAUUAGAUACCCUGGUAGUCCACGCCGUAAACGUUGAUCACUCGUUGUUGGCAAUACACCGUCAGCGACCUAGCUAAUGCGCUAAGUGAUCCACCUGGGGAGUACGAUCGCAAGGUUGAAACCCAAAGGAAUUGACGGGGGCCCGCACAAGCGAAGGAGCAUGUGGUUUAAUUCGAUGAUACGCGAGGAACCUUACCUGGGCUUAAAUGUAGUGUGCAUUCCCGUGAAAACGGGAUUUCCUUCGGGACCCACUACAAGGUGCUGCAUGGUUGUCGUCAGCUCGUGCCGUGAGGUGUCGGGUUAAGUCCCAUAACGAGCGCAACCCCUAUCUUUAGUUGCUAACAGGUCAUGCUGAGGACUUUCUAAAGAAACUGNNCCCGCGCAAGCGGUGAGGAAGGUGGGGAUGACGUCAAAUCAGCACGGCCCUUAUGUCCAGGGCUACACACGUGCUACAAUGGCAGGUACAGUGGGCAGCUAUCACGCAAGUGAAUGCUAAUCUCUAAAACCUGUCUCAGUCCGGAUUGGAGUCUGCAACCCGACUCCAUGAAGCUGGAUUCGCUAGUAAUCGCACAUCAGCCAUGGUGCGGUGAUACGUUCCCGGGCCUUGUACACACCGCCCGUCAAGCCGUGGAAGCUGGGAGUACCUGAAGUCUGUAACCGUAAGGA